rnacentral:misc_RNA from 1 species
GGGCAGUAUUACAUAGUUUUUAUAUAUGUUUGAGAAAUCAUAUGUAAUGUACAGUACAUGAUAACAAAGUUCAAAGAGGACACCAGCCCUUUCAGAUCCUUCAAAUAUAUCAUGAACUGAUCAUCAAACAUUUCCUGCACUACAGCUCUAACCAUAGCUAGAAGAAGUACCACACUCAAACUCAAGCAGUUAAAAAGUUUUCAAUGUUACAAACGCUGGAAUGCGUCAAGCUUUCACUCCGGGUUCGGUGCUUGGAGGCACUGCUGCCUUGGGUUCAGAGUUCUCCUCUUCCUCAAUUUCUUCAGUGUCACUGUCAUCAUCGCCCUCAGGCACAUCAACAUCAAAAUCGCUAGGACCUUCUCCCAUGUUGAGUUUCGAGAAGUCCAUGUCACCAAAAUCCAUAUCUGGCUCAGGUUUACUGUCUUCUUCAUCUUCAUCAACCCAUUUGUCCCAGUCAACUUUCAAAAACACCGGACGUAAUCCCUGCUGCUUUACCAGUCUGCUCCACCACUUGUCUUCCGCCUUCUUCACUAGAUACACGAUACUUCUAGAGGUAGUACUACUUUUGCUCUCAUCAACAUUAAUUUUAUCAAACAGAUCAAGAUCCACUUCAUAAGGUACAUUAUCAGCUCCUGCAGUUGCAGAGAAUAAGAAUUUUCCUUCUGGUUCCAGUUUCAGCUUCACAUUCUUGGCAUCUGGUAACUCCACCGUAAUAAACAACUUGUCAGACCUCUGAGCCCACUUGAUAGUAGGAUGUCGG